rnacentral:SRP_RNA from 1 species
CGACGGGCUAGGCGGGGGGCUACCCCUCCCCUGUGACCACAAAUGGGGUUCACGGUGGGCCGAAGUCUGCGGACGGCGUUGGAACCGCACGGCGGCCUGAUUUCCGGCGCGGAUGUCCCAUCCUACUGGGUCGGCGGCGGCGGGGCCCCAGCUGUAGGGUUGGGGAGAACCGCCCUCGUCUCUCGAACCCCGCCAGGACCGGAAGGUAGCAGCGGUAGGGAGGACGUACGGCGCUGGUAGUCAAUGGGACGGAGCUUGGGGUCAGCAACCGACGUGCGGGGAAAACGUCAACCGCGGACGUGCCCGUCG